CACCCCACAGCACACACCAAAACUUGCCCCAAAGAGCAGAAAGAAAAUACUAAAGGAGGUGAGAGUCUGACAUCAAAUGCCAGAGCCAGAGAGGGCACUCUUGGGGAACCUGAACCACUCCUCACUUUUCAGACACCCCACUCCUCACUUUUCAGACACCAGCAAGUGCAGGGAUUUACCCAAGGUCACAGAGUAAGGCCGAACAGAGAGGCACAGGCCAGCAGGGCUCUCUUUUAUCAAUUUCCUAGAGAAAAGGGAGAGAUUUACUCCUUGGCCCCCUUGAGGCAGAGCUGAGAUGAGGUUGAGGUGAGGGACUCCCUGGAUGCUGGUCUCAACACAGAGAGGAAGCACUUUCUUGCUACAGAGAUAUUCCACAACUCAAGAGGCUGCCCAGAGAGUGGAGAGUGACCUCCUCAUCCUGUGGGGUAUAUGAGUAGCAAGCAGGUUCUGGAGUCCCGGCUGAGUCCUCUCUCUCUCAUUCGGUAGUCAGGCAAUCCCUGGGUGUCUACCAUCCUUUCCUAUCCUCCUGCCUGCCCCUCUCCUCUGAACCCCGUCUCCUAGCCUAGUCUGGCCCAGCUACAUCUCCUUGGCUGGACCUGGUGGCAGUGGGGUUGGCUGGGUAAUGCACAGACUGCUGACCUAACUAUGUGUCCCCGAGGCCUUGCUACUGGGGGUUGGAGGGGCCAGGGCAGUUUGACCAGGCCUGAAGAAGGCUGGGCAGCGCUGGAGGGGCAUGGGUCAGACCAGGUUAUCCUCUGUUCCUGAGGAGAGUGAGCUCAGGCCCAAGGAGGAGAAGGAGGAGACUGGGGGCUCAAAGGAACGAGAACCUCCUUCUUCAUCAGGAUUUGGGGGUGCAUCUCAGAGCUGGCUGGAGGAGCAUGGUGUUUGAAGCCCCUGAAAUCUGAAUUUUAGCAGGAGCUGCUAUUUCCUGACUUGCAUAGUGGUCAAAGUUACUUCUCCUUCACGGUCCACAGAGAAGGGGUAAUAAUAUUUGUCCCCAAGGGUGGUUUGUGGAUUUUAAAAAAUAAGUUAAAUAAUAUUGCCCAUACAUUAUAGGUACUCCAUACAUUUUCAUUCGUUCGUUCAUUCGUUAGUUGGGCCGGGAGGAUGAAUGGGAUCUAGAGGCAGGUGGGAAUGCGGAAGGGGAUGAUGCCCCAAUACCGAGAACAAUGUGAGACUCAGACGGAGGCAGGGGCGGGAGGGGAGCUCAAGCGAGGGAUCAGCGUGAAGCCAGAGAAACAACCGACACUUUUCCUGCCAAGAAGGUGAAGCAGCUGCGGGACUCCGUGCGUUGGGAAAAUCACG
rnacentral:lncRNA from 1 species